rnacentral:lncRNA from 1 species
CUUUGAAUUUAAUGGGUAAUGUUUUGUUUUGAGUGCAUGCAAGCAUGAUUCCGCCUUUUAAUUGUUAAUUGCAUGCUAUAGAUGUUGCUUUAAUGAACAUGUUUUUCACAAAAUUUCCUUUAAGUGGUAUCAGAGCCUAGGUUUAGUAGUUGGUGAAUCCUUUUGGGUUUUGUAGUUCAUAGUCUUUGAUUUAAAUGUCGUAAUAUGUUACAAGCUUUAAUCUUGUUUCUUUGAAUGUAAAUUUUGUUAGAAAAUUUGCCAUCUCAAAUGUUUUAGAUGUAGUUCAUAUGAGCAUGAAUUUUGGAGCUAAAAUUUGGUGCCAUGUUUUUGGGGAUUUUCGGCCAAAUCCAAAGGGUGAUUUUUUGGGUUCUUGUUUGACUUGUUAAAAGUGUUUUAAGGUGACUUUUGGAACCCCUAAGUACCCUAGGAUGUUAACCCCAUUUUGAGUAGUGAAAAUUUGAGUUUUAUUGCUUGAAAAUGUUCAUGGAACUCUUAUGGGUUUUCUUGGAUGUUCUUCAUUGUUCUUGAAGUUCUUACCAAGAACAAAAAGGUUUGGUGUUUUGAUUCAAAGUUUUGGAUGAUUUCAUAAAGUCUUUGUUUUGUGUUGGUGGGUGUGACUUAUCUGUCAACAAAACAUUUAUUGAAAUUUUGAAAGGUGAUAGAAAUGGUGAUGGGUGUGUAAGUACUUCUUUUACACACACACCACUUGCAUGGCUUUAUUCACACCAACCUAUUUCCACUUGCAUGGCUUUAUGACUUUGUUGAAAAAUUUUCAAAAUUUUGUGGCUUCAAUCUCUCCAAAAUCGGCCACCCUACAAGUGGGGUGCUUUUGGGGCUUUGAUGCAAUUACAUAAAGUUUUGGUACUUUUGUGUAAUUCGUAGUUUGACCCAAAAGUUUACGUAUUUACGUAAAGGCCCAAAAUCAUUAAAGGACAAAUUGUUUUGUUCCUUUCAUGAUGUUUUUCAAUUUGUUGAAAUUUUUGGGUUCUAGUUGUAAUUACAUGAAGUAAUGGACUUUUGUGUUUUUACAAAAUGAGCUCAAAAG